UGGGGAAUCUUGCGCAAUGGCCUAACGGCUGACGCAGCGACGCCGCGUGUGGGAUGAAGCUCCUCGGAGUGUAAACCACUGUUGCCCGGGACGAAUAGCUCGAUUCAUCGAGCCUGACGGUACCGGGUGAGGAAGCACCGGCUAACUCCGUGCCAGCAGCCGCGGUAAUACGGGGGGUGCUAGCGUUGUCCGGAAUCACUGGGCGUAAAGGGCGCGUAGGUGGUUUGAUAAGGGUGUGGUGAAAGCCCGGGGCUCAACCCCGGGUCUGCCGUGCCGACUGUCAAACUCGAGGGCUGUAGAGGCAGACGGAAUUCCGGGUGUAGCGGUGGAAUGCGUAGAGAUCCGGAGGAAGACCGGUGGCGAAGGCGGUCUGCUGGGCAGUUUCUGACACUGAUGCGCGACAGCGUGGGGAGCAAACAG
rnacentral:rRNA from 1 species